rnacentral:rRNA from 1 species
GGGUUGUGAGGUUAAGCGACUAAGCGUACACGGUGGAUGCCCUGGCAGUCAGAGGCGAUGAAGGGCGUGCUAAUCUGCGAUAAGCGCCGGUAAGGUGAUAUGAACCGUUAUAACCGGCGAUACCCGAAUGGGGAAACCCAGUGUGACUCGUCACACUAUCAUUAACUGAAUCCAUAGGUUAAUGAGGCGAACCGGGGGAACUGAAACAUCUAAGUACCCCGAGGAAAAGAAAUCAACCGAGAUUCCCCCAGUAGCGGCGAGCGAACGGGGAGGAGCCCAGAGCCUGAAUCAGCAUGUGUGUUAGUGGAAGCGUCUGGAAAGGCGCGCGAUACAGGGUGACAGCCCCGUACACAAAAGCGCAUGUGCUGUGAGCUCGAUGAGUAGGGCGGGACACGUGGUAUCCUGUCUGAAUAUGGGGGGACCAUCCUCCAAGGCUAAAUACUCCUGACUGACCGAUAGUGAACCAGUACCGUGAGGGAAAGGCGAAAAGAACCCCGGCGAGGGGAGUGAAAAAGAACCUGAAACCGUGUACGUACAAGCAGUGGGAGCACCCUUUGGGGUGUGACUGCGUACCUUUUGUAUAAUGGGUCAGCGACUUAUAUUCUGUAGCAAGGUUAACCGAAUAGGGGAGCCGGAGGGAAACCGAGUCUUAAUUGGGCGUUAAGUUGCAGGGUAUAGACCCGAAACCCGGUGAUCUAGCCAUGGGCAGGUUGAAGGUUGGGUAACACUAACUGGAGGACCGAACCGACUAAUGUUGAAAAAUUAGCGGAUGACCUGUGGCUGGGGGUGAAAGGCCAAUCAAACCGGGAGAUAGCUGGUUCUCCCCGAAAGCUAUUUAGGUAGCGCCUCGUGAAUUCAUCUCCGGGGGUAGAGCACUGUUUCGGCUAGGGGGCCAUCCCGGCUUACCAACCCGAUGCAAACUGCGAAUACCGGAGAAUGUUAUCACGGGAGACACACGGCGGGUGCUAACGUCCGUCGUGAAGAGGGAAACAACCCAGACCGCCAGCUAAGGUCCCAAAGUCAUGGUUAAGUGGGAAACGAUGUGGGAAGGCCCAGACAGCCAGGAUGUUGGCUUAGAAGCAGCCAUCAUUUAAAGAAAGCGUAAUAGCUCACUGGUCGAGUCGGCCUGCGCGGAAGAUGUAACGGGGCUAAACCAUGCACCGAAGCUGCGGCAGCGACGUUUAUGCGUUGUUGGGUAGGGGAGCGUUCUGUAAGCCUGCGAAGGUGGCCUGUGAGGGUUGCUGGAGGUAUCAGAAGUGCGAAUGCUGACAUAAGUAACGAUAAAGCGGGUGAAAAGCCCGCUCGCCGGAAGACCAAGGGUUCCUGUCCAACGUUAAUCGGGGCAGGGUGAGUCGACCCCUAAGGCGAGGCCGAAAGGCGUAGUCGAUGGGAAACGGGUUAAUAUUCCCGUACUUGGUGUUACUGCGAAGGGGGGACGGAGAAGGCUAUGUUGGCCGGGCGACGGUUGUCCCGGUUUAAGCGUGUAGGUGUGUGUUCCAGGUAAAUCCGGUUCACUUUAACACUGAGGCGUGAUGACGAGGCACUACGGUGCUGAAGCAACAAAUGCCCUGCUUCCAGGAAAAGCCUCUAAGCAUCAGGUAACACGAAAUCGUACCCCAAACCGACACAGGUGGUCAGGUAGAGAAUACCAAGGCGCUUGAGAGAACUCGGGUGAAGGAACUAGGCAAAAUGGUGCCGUAACUUCGGGAGAAGGCACGCUGACACGUAGGUGAAGUGAUUUACUCAUGGAGCUGAAGUCAGUCGAAGAUACCAGCUGGCUGCAACUGUUUAUUAAAAACACAGCACUGUGCAAACACGAAAGUGGACGUAUACGGUGUGACGCCUGCCCGGUGCCGGAAGGUUAAUUGAUGGGGUCAGCGCAAGCGAAGCUCCUGAUCGAAGCCCCGGUAAACGGCGGCCGUAACUAUAACGGUCCUAAGGUAGCGAAAUUCCUUGUCGGGUAAGUUCCGACCUGCACGAAUGGCGUAAUGAUGGCCAGGCUGUCUCCACCCGAGACUCAGUGAAAUUGAACUCGCUGUGAAGAUGCAGUGUACCCGCGGCAAGACGGAAAGACCCCGUGAACCUUUACUAUAGCUUGACACUGAACAUUGAGCCUUGAUGUGUAGGAUAGGUGGGAG